rnacentral:rRNA from 1 species
CAAUAGCGUAUAUUAAAGUUGUUGCAGUUAAAAAGCUCGUAGUUGGAUUUCUGCCAGGGUGCCAAUGUCCGCCGAAGUGCGUGCGCAGCGGCGCCCUCGCAUCCUUCUGUUAACGCCUCUCGGCAUUUACUUGCCGGUGGUGGGCUCAGAUAAUUUACCUUGAGAAAAUUAGAGUGUUUCAGGUAGGCUAGGCCGGAAUACAUUAGCAUGGAAUAAUGGAAUAGGACUACGGUCUCGUUGUUGGUUUGAGGGACUGGAGUAAUGAUUAAUAGGGACAGUUGGGGGUAUUCGUAUUUCGUUGUCAGAGGUGAAAUUCUUGGAUUUCCGAAAGACGAACUACUGCGAAAGCAUUUACCAAGGAUGUUUUCAUUAAUCAAGAACGAAAGUUAGGGGAUCGAAGACGAUCAGAUACCGU